GACGAACGCUGGCGGCGUGCUUAACACAUGCAAGUCGAACGGAAAGGCCCUGCUUUUGUGGGGUGCUCGAGUGGCGAACGGGUGAGUAAAACGUGAGUAACCUGCCCUUGACUUUGGGAUAACUUCAGGAAACUGGGGCUAAUACCGGAUAGGAGCUACUGCUGCAUGGUGGGGGUUGGAGAGUUUCGGCGGUUGGGGAUGGAAUGGCGGCUUAUCAGCUUGUUGGUGGGGUAGUGGAUUACCAAGGCUGUGACGGGUAGCCCGCCUGAGAGGGUGGCCGGCGACAAUGCGACUGAGAUACGGCCCAGACUCCUAUGGGAGGCAGCAGGCGGGAAUAUUGCGCAAUGGGCGGAAGCGAGAUGCAGAAAUGCCGCGUUCGGGAUGACGGGCUUCGGGUUGAAAACCGCUUUCGCAGGAGACGAAGCGUGAGUGACGGUAAUGGGUAAAGAAGCAACGGCUAACUACGUG
rnacentral:rRNA from 1 species